rnacentral:rRNA from 1 species
CUACGGGGGGCAGCAGUGGGGAAUAUUGCACAAUGGAGGGAACUCUGAUGCAGCAACGCCGCGUGGAGGAUGACGCAUUUCGGUGUGUAAACUCCUUUUAUAUAGGAAGAUAAUGACGGUACUAUAUGAAUAAGCACCGGCUAACUCCGUGCCAGCAGCCGCGGUAAUACGGAGGGUGCAAGCGUUACUCGGAAUCACUGGGCGUAAAGCGCAUGCAGGCGGUUAAAUAAGUUGGAAGUGAAAUCCUAUGGCUCAACCAUAGAACUGCUUCCAAAACUGUUUAACUAGAGUCUGGGAGGGGAAGAUGGAAUUAGUAGUGUAGGGGUAAAAUCCGUAGAGAUUACUAGGAAUACCAAAAGCGAAGGCGAUCUUCUGGAACAGUACUGACGCUGAGAUGCGAAAGCGUGGGGAGCAAACAGGAUUAGAUACCCUCGUAGUC